AUGUGCACUGACCAUUUAUCAGGAAUCAAGUUAGGACCAGGAUGUCCUUCUAUUCACUCACUAAUGUUUGCUGAUGAUUUACUGAUUUGUGGACAUGCUACAAUUGCAGAAGCUACUCAUAUGCUCCAAAUUCUGCAAAGAUUUUGCAAUUUUUCAGGUCAAACGCCGAAUUGGAGCAAGUCGAGUAUUAUUUUCAGCAGAAAUGUUAACGCCAUCACGAAGGAGGAUAUUAAAAGAAUUUUUCCGGUGCAGGAUAUUACUAAUAACUCUAUCUAUUUAGGACACCCUUUACUUCUCCCUGAUAAAGAUAGAUCUAGUGCUUAUGAUUUUGUUGUCGACAAAUUUAAAGUUAAAUUAACCGGCUAUAAGGCUAAUAAACUCUCACAUGCAGCUAGAUUAACUCUGAUCAAUUCAGUUUUUGCUUCCAUUCCUGUCUACUAUAUGUCAAAUAUCCUUUUCUCUAGGAAACUAAUUGCCAAACUUACUGCUAUCAUUAGAAACUUUUGGUGGACAGGAAUAAAAGAAGACCCAUCCAAGAAAGCUCUCUGUUUUAUGUCAUGGAAGGACAUUUGCAUCCCAAAAGCUGAAGGAGGACUAGGAAUCAAGAACAUCCAAGCAUUUAAUAGAGGCUUGAUCCUGUCAGUGGCUUGGAGAAUUGCAGAGGAUCUAGAAAGUUUUUUCUCACAGGUACCGAUUAUUCAACAAAAGGGAGCAGAUAUUCUCUGUUGGAAAUUACAUUCUUCAGGAAAAUGUAAUUCAAAAUCUGCUUACAAAGCAUGCCUUCAAGACUUGCAACAACAGGGUUCUCCAAUUCCUAGACAGGUACCUCAAGAAAUUAAACAACUACUCAAGCAGGUUUGGAAAGAGAAAACCAUGGUUCCAAGAAUACAGACUUUUGCAUGGAGGCUCUUGAGGAAAGCACUUCCAACAGGUAUGAGAGCAGGGAAAUAUUCCAAGCAUAUUAAAAAAAGUUGCAUUAGAUGUGAUCAGGAUGAAAUGACAUGCAUCUUUUCUUUACUUGUCCCUUUGCAAAAGCUGUUUGGGUUGCCCAUCCUUGGUUUAUUAAAUCUGAAAUUCUUUCUAACAACUUUGCUAGCAUUACAGAAAUUAUUCAUGCUCUCCUUAACUCAGGGCACCCCCAAGCCUCUCUCACAAAUAUAA
rnacentral:rRNA from 1 species